CUAGAGGUGGGAGGAUCACUUUCCAAGUGGCCCAUAUGGCUGGGGAGUUGGUGCUGGCUGUCAGCUAGGAGCCUGCUGGGUCCUCAGCUCCAUAUGUGUCUCUCUACCCACCGUUUGUACUUCCUCACAGCAUGGUGGCCGAGUCUCCAAACAGAAGGCAGAAGUGCAUGACUUUUUUACUACCUAGCCUCCGAAGCCACAUGGUGUCACUUUAGCUAUACUCCAUUGGUCGAGAUAGUCACAAAGAUCUGCCCUGGUUCAAGGAGGAGGGGGAGAGGGAAGGUUCUAGAAGAGCAUAUGGCAUGAGAGAUGCUGCUCUACCAUCUUCAGAAAAUGGCAAUGUCAAAGCAGGUGAUGGCAAUCCAGGGUCAGGUGAUGGCUAGACACCUAGGCAGGCAGCCAACCAAGGCAUCAGCACCCAACUGGGAUUUGGUGGCAGGACCUCGGCCCCUGAGUCGGGGGACAGCUGAUAAGAGCGCAGCCAAGCCUGGGACUUUAUCAGAAGAUGGUGUAACAGAGUGGUCAAGAGCAGAUUCUCGAACCAGAUUCCCUGCAUUUGAAUCCUGGCUUCACCAAUUAGUAGUUUAAGAUCUGGGGCAAGGAGAGUGACCCCUCUUGGCCUCGGUUUCCCCAUCUGUUAAAUGGGAUAACAAUAGAACAUACCUCACAGGUUUGUUGUGAGGAUUCAGCCAGUUAAUAGAGGUAAGAGCUUAGAACAGUGUCUGGCCCUCAGCAAAUGCUGUGUAAGGAUAAGCUAAUGUUGGUAAGAGACUCUUUUCACAGAAAAGCACCAGAAACCAAACAGGGAACAGAACUGCCAAAUGGUGUGUAUCAGAGCUCCGAAGAGAGGCAGACUUCCAGGAAUGAGAACUUCUGACUGUCGUGCUCAGGACAGUGGAUGCUUUGAGGGCUGCGGGUAUCGUUUUCCAAGCCACAUCCUGUACGGUGCUCCUUGGAAAGGGGCUUCCAAAGUCAGGCCAGCUGUAGGAGCCGGGUGUGCUGACCAGGGUCCCCCUUCUGUUGAUGGAGACACUGAGCUUCGAGACGGAACACACCCAAGAACAUACAACUAGAAAGUGGCAGCACUGGAACUGCAGCCAGCUGCCACGGGGGGGACUCACUCAUACUUGUAUACAAGUAACAUGGGAGUACGUUCAGAUUGUAUGUGAAAUAAACAUGAAACUCUU